AACGUGAAAGCUGAAAUAUUCACGAAAUAGCGAUAAAAAAAUCAGAAAAAAAAAAAGCAAAAACAAAUUGGUUUGUUUGGAGUCGGAACGACACGAAACGAAUUUACAAAUUAGUUAUCCAUCUCAUAGAUAAAAAAAAAAAAAACAAAAAAGGACGGACAUAAUUCGCACGUGGGUGCGGCCACUUUUGUAGGUGGGAAGUUGGGAAGUUAAGAUGCAGACGGGAAUUUAAUGCAUAUCUGUAAGCAACGACAAACCAUUGCUAACGAAAAAUCGAUUCUGAGCUGUAUUCAGUUUAUACUUUGUUGCUUUGUUAACUAUAUCAUG